UUGAGGGUUACAGGAAAAGCAAUGCACAAUAAGGCAUCAAAAGCUCUUUGUAAAGCCAUGAGGGCCCUAUAACCCUUGAUAUAAUCCAUGGGAUCAGUAGAACCAUCAAAAGACUUGAUGGCAGGCAUCUUGAACUGGUUCGAAACUGAUUCACUCAAGAUUUCAUGAGAAAAAGGAGACUGAAGAUUCAAAGUAUAUUUAUUUUGGGACCGACCCUCUACCUGGAGCUCCAUCAAACGCUUUUCAAGAUCCAGGACCAUGUGCUUCAGAUCAUCCCCUCUUUGAAUUUUUAGAGAAUUGGGGAC
rnacentral:lncRNA from 1 species